rnacentral:lncRNA from 1 species
CAAAAUUAGCCGGGUAGAGAGAGCGGAGCGACGGUGAUGGAGGAACGGACGGUGGUCUCCGUCCGGCCACGGACCGGUGGUUUUGACGCAACAAACAACGGUAGAAUUUGACACACUCGCUUUUUAGAAUCCAGAUGAGGGUUGUUUUUAGAGAAAGGGGCGUUCACCUGCUGUUACGGGUGAUGUUCCGGCCAUGACGGCGGCGGAUCUGUGUACCAAGUCACCACCGUCGUUCACCAUCUCCACCACCCUCAUCUUCAAAAUUCGUCCAAACUUCAGCAACCAACUUCGUGCACAAAAAAAAAUCCGAUUUAUCUCUCAUUCAAAUCAGUGAUGGCGAUAAAUAAGCAAUCAGUGGUAAAUUCUUUCAUUAUGAUCAUUCUCUCUGUAUUUCGAUCUGCUUUAUUAUGAUUUUCGUUCACCUCUUUUGCUAUUUCUAGGGUUUCAUCAUCUAAUUUGUGAAAUUUGAGCAUACAACCGUUAGUUGUUUGUUAAACUACUUUAUGAUGUUAAUAGGUGUAGAAUGGAUUGAUUUUUGUUGAAAUAGGUUGUGUAUAAUUUCUCCGUUUACUGAAUCAUGAAUAGGUUUUGUUCACCUGCAAUUGUUGUGAGAGUUUAAAUAAGUAGUUAUGGAGCCCUAGCUCUUUGAAUUAGAGGUUGUUUAGGUUUUUUUUUUUUGAAAUAUGUUGAUUUUUUUUAUUUAGAUUGAGUUUUCCAGACUUAUAGAAUUAUGAUCAUUGUUUGAAGUGAAAUAUAUCUCUUUAGCACCAGCUAGGUCCUUAUACAAACUCAUAAGUUAGAAAAAAAGAGCUUUUCCUUUUUGGUCUGUUGUGCUUUGAACAUUUAGUUCUUUUCAUUGAUACUUUUAACAAUUAAAUCACAUCUCAGACCAAUUAAUAAACCUUUUUUCUAACAGCAAACCAGUUGAUAAACUGUCGCAACAUACUCUGCUACAAAUUGAUAUGAUACACUACAAAAGACUAUUCUUUGAAUCAUCACUUUUAAAAUUUUUUCUGCAUUCUGAUAAUCCCCUUUGAUUUGAUGAGACUACCCCACAUUUACUUCAACACCCAUGUUGAAGAAAAUCUUUAACGGCCAUGCCACUCUGCUCGACAAGGAAUUGCGUUCGUCACGCACUUUCUGGAACGACUUUUUUCAGGUUUUUGAUUUGUGGGUUUUUUUUUGUUUGGGUUGUUUAAGUGUGGCGGAUUUACUUUAAUGGGUUGUUGAUUGCUUGCAAUUGUAACACUAACUUCACUUUCUUAAACUCAACGUCAAAGGUCUUUAACAUGCCAAAUAUAUGCAGGGUAUGUACAGAAGCUCCUUAGAAGCUAAGGCGAGGUCGUUGAUGUUACCUUAAUCUCGCACAAUCUUAACAGAGUUGGUAUAAGUUACCUUGAAGACGUCUUUGUUGCUUAUCAUGUUAUCGGAUCCUCGAGGAACGAGGUUCAGAUAUUAGAACUUCCCACCUAGGGCUGAAAGACGUGUUUGCUCUUCUUCAAUGGUAUGAGGGAAUUAGAGUUGCCACAUGCAUGUAACAUUGUGGAUAAAGGAACAUGGAAGCUGCCUGGUGACAUGUUUGAGGGGGCUUAAUCUAUAUGAUAUUACAGUCAUUCAAUGACAAAUCUAGAUAUGACGCGAGAAUCUGCACUACUCUAUCUUGAUGUUUGAUUGAGUGUUUUAAUGGCAAACCAUUCAAUAUCUCAAAUUACAUACUAUUUUCUCUGAUGAACCAUUGUGCACGUGUGUAAUCGGGGCUAUAUUCAACAAUAUUUUUUUGUUGUUUUGCUUUU